UACGUAGGGUGCGAGCGUUAAUCGGAAUUACUGGGCGUAAAGCGUGCGCAGGCGGUGAUGUAAGACAGGUGUGAAAUCCCCGGGCUUAACCUGGGAACUGCAUUUGUGACUGCAUCGCUGGAGUGCGGCAGAGGGGGAUGGAAUUCCGCGUGUAGCAGUGAAAUGCGUAGAUAUGCGGAGGAACACCGAUGGCGAAGGCAAUCCCCUGGGGCCUGCACUGACGCUCAUGCACGAAAGCGUGGGGAGCAAAC
rnacentral:rRNA from 1 species